rnacentral:rRNA from 1 species
AAAGUCAAUGUAGCUUGAUUAUUAUUUAGUUAUUUAGUUAUUGUUUUUAGUAAUUUGUUUAAUAAAAAUAAUUUUAUUAUUAAAAGUUUAAUUAUAAUGUUUAGAAAAAAUUUAAUUUAAUUAUAGAUGAUUUGUAUUGUGAAAGAUUUUAAAAUUUUUGUUAUUAAAUUUAAAGUAAAAUUGAUUUUUUGUACCUUGUGUAUCAGGGUUGAUUAAUUAUAAUUAAUAGAUUUUAAUUUCUCGAAAUAAAAAGAUUUAAUUAAUUAUUAUUUUUAUUGUUAAAUAAAUAUUGUUAAUAAUUAUUUAGAAAUGAAAAGUUAUUCGUUUUUUAUAUAUCUAGUUGUUAUAGAAAUAAGUUUAAUUUAUAAAUUUAAUAUUAUAUAUUUAUUUUUUUAAUUAUAUAAUUUAAUUUUAAAAUAUUUAAUGGGAUUAGCUUUUAAAUAUAUUAUUAUAAUGAUUUAGUUUAUUUAAAUUAAUAGGAUUAGAAUUGUCUUUUUAUAAGUUUGUUAUAAAUUAUUUAGUUUAUUAUAGGAUUUAUUAUUAUUUAAUUUUUUAUAUAACAAAUAUUUUUAAUAUUAUUUAUUAUGAUAUAAUGAUUAAAUUAGUAUAUUAGUUAUUGUUUAUAAUUGUUUUAGUUGUAAUUUAUUAUAAGGAAUUCGGCAAAUAAUUUUUUCGAAUGUUUAUCAAAAACAUUUCUUUUUGUUAAUAAUUUAAAGUUUGGCCUGCUCAAUGAUAUUUUAAAUAGCUGCGGUAAUUUGACCGUACAAAGGUAGCAUAAUCAUUAGUUUUUUAAUUGAAAGCUAGAAUGAAUGGUUUAACGAGAAAAAAGCUGUCUUAUUUUAAUUAUUAAAAUUUAAUUUUUAAGUUAAAAAGCUUAAAUAAUUUUAAAAGACGAGAAGACCCCAUAGAUCUUUAUUAAUUUUAUUUUAUAAUAUAUUUUAGAUGUAUAAUUUUAUUAUAUUUUAAUUUAAUUUUAUUGGGGUGAUAUAAAAAUUAAAUAAACUUUUUAUUAUAUUUAUAUAUUAAUUUAUAAUUUUUUGAUCCAUUAAUGAUGAUUAUAAGUUUAAGUUACCUUGGGGAUAACAGCGUAAUUUUUUUGAAGAGUUCUUAUCGAUAAAAAAGAUUGCGACCUCGAUGUUGGAUUAAGAAAAUAAUUUUGGUGCAAAAUUUAAAUAUUAGGGUCUGUUCGACCCUUAAAUUCUUACAUGAUCUGAGUUCAGACCGGCGUGAGCCAGGUUGGUUUCUAUCUUUAAAAUUUUAAUAUAUUUUAGUACGAAAGGACCAAAUAUAUGAUAUAUUAUUUAGUUUUUGAAUGAAAUUGUUAUUUUGGCAGAUUAGUGCGAUAAAUUUAGAAUUUAUUAAUGUAUAUUUUAUACAGA